UUAAUGAAUGUUUUGAUGAUUUGGGUGCUAAAAUAGAUGAGAGGUGUCAAUAUUUUGGUCCAAAUGGAUGUUUUAGGUGGUUUUGGACUGUUCCGGAUGGGUGGGGGACCUGGUAUGGACAAGUAAGGGUAACAUUUCCAACAAAUCUUAAAUGUAAAUAUUAUUAUGUCCAUAGAUUGAAGUUUCAGGUGGAGAGCAAGAUGAAAAAUAUGCAAAAUUACAUGCAUGCAACCCAUUUAUGCCAUUUUUCUCUUUGUUUGUAGGCCUGACCGUUUGUCCUUGAGCCGUAGAUGGUCAACAAUCCGCUAGCUGUCUUGCUCUGACUGGUGCACUGGACAUGAUUUCAAUAGUCAGCCAGACCAUGAUUGAGCUUAAGGGUUGUGCUGCGGAUGCAGCCUGUGCAGUUCCGGGAGAAAGUCACUGUCUCGGGCAAUGCGGUCUGGUAUCAGGUCUGGAUGAUCCUUGCCUGACUGCGGGUUUGUGUACACCUCAAUCCGACUCUGUGUCCUGAACAGAGGCCGCAGUGGUGCAGCGCUUGUGGACGAUCCAUCAACAUCCUGAAAGGUCAACAUUACACCAAGCUGGGAAAAUUGAUCCUGAUAGUCAUCCCCAGGCCUGACCGUUUGUCCUUGAGCCGUAGAUGGUCAACAAUCCGCUAGCUGUCUUGCUCUGACUGGUGCACUGGACAUGAUUUCAAUAGUCAGCCAGACCAUGAUUGAGCUUAAGGGUUGUGCUGCGGAUGCAGCCUGUGCAGUUCCGGGAGAAAGUCACUGUCUCGGGCAAUGCGGUCUGGUAUCAGGUCUGGAUGAUCCUUGCCUGACUGCGGGUUUGUGUACACCUCAAUCCGACUCUGUGUCCUGAACAGAGGCCGCAGUGGUGCAGCGCUUGUGGACGAUCCAUCAACAUCCUGAAAGGUCAACACUACACCAAGCUGGGAAAAUUGAUCCUGAUAGUCAUCCCCAGGCCUGACCGUUUGUCCUUGAGCCGUAGAUGGUCAACAAUCCGCUAGCUGUCUUGCUCUGACUGGUGCACUGGACAUGAUUUCAAUAGUCAGCCAGACCAUGAUUGAGCUUAAGGGUUGUGCUGCGGAUGCAGCCUGUGCAGUUCCGGGAGAAAGUCACUGUCUCGGGCAAUGCGGUCUGGUAUCAGGUCUGGAUGAUCCUUGCCUGACUGCGGGUUUGUGUACACCUCAAUCCGACUCUGUGUCCUGAACAGAGGCCGCAGUGGUGCAGCGCUUGUGGACGAUCCAUCAACAUCCUGAAAGGUCAACACUACACCAAGCUGGGAAAAUUGAUCCUGAUAGUCAUCCCCAGGCCUGACCGUUUGUCCUUGAGCCGUAGAUGGUCAACAAUCCGCUAGCUGUCUUGCUCUGACUGGUGCACUGGACAUGAUUUCAAUAGUCAGCCAGACCAUGAUUGAGCUUAAGGGUUGUGCUGCGGAUGCAGCCUGUGCAGUUCCGGGAGAAAGUCACUGUCUCGGGCAAUGCGGUCUGGUAUCAGGUCUGGAUGAUCCUUGCCUGACUGCGGGUUUGUGUACACCUCAAUCCGACUCUGUGUCCUGAACAGAGGCCGCAGUGGUGCAGCGCUUGUGGACGAUCCAUCAACAUCCUGAAAGGUCAACACUACACCAAGCUGGGAAAAUUGAUCCUGAUAGUCAUCCCCAGGCCUGACCGUUUGUCCUUGAGCCGUAGAUGGUCAACAAUCCGCUAGCUGUCUUGCUCUGACUGGUGCACUGGACAUGAUUUCAAUAGUCAGCCAGACCAUGAUUGAGCUUAAGGGUUGUGCUGCGGAUGCAGCCUGUGCAGUUCCGGGAGAAAGUCACUGUCUCGGGCAAUGCGGUCUGGUAUCAGGUCUGGAUGAUCCUUGCCUGACUGCGGGUUUGUGUACACCUCAAUCCGACUCUGUGUCCUGAACAGAGGCCGCAGUGGUGCAGCGCUUGUGGACGAUCCAUCAACAUCCUGAAAGGUCAACACUACACCAAGCUGGGAAAAUUGAUCCUGAUAGUCAUCCCCAGGCCUGACCGUUUGUCCUUGAGCCGUAGAUGGUCAACAAUCCGCUAGCUGUCUUGCUCUGACUGGUGCACUGGACAUGAUUUCAAUAGUCAGCCAGACCAUGAUUGAGCUUAAGGGUUGUGCUGCGGAUGCAGCCUGUGCAGUUCCGGGAGAAAGUCACUGUCUCGGGCAAUGCGGUCUGGUAUCAGGUCUGGAUGAUCCUUGCCUGACUGCGGGUUUGUGUACACCUCAAUCCGACUCUGUGUCCUGAACAGAGGCCGCAGUGGUGCAGCGCUUGUGGAUGAUCCAUCAACAUCCUGAAAGGUCAACACUACACCAAGCUGGGAAAAUUGAUCCUGAUAGUCAUCCCCAGGUAGUGGAAUGAAUGUUCACUGAACUACAGAGGAAUCACACCCAAAUGACUUUCCUGCCACGACAUUAGUGUGGCCACUCGCGUAGGAAUUCCUUAGCAAACAUGCUCUUUUGCAUGGUGACUGUGGACAUUUUUGCAAAACUUACGCUUUCAACACUGGAUUUUAAAGAGAAUACUUAAUAAAAUGUCGCUAACAGGACUUAUUUAUAUGAGAGAGACUAUCUGGAUGCGCAUUAAGUGUCACUUUGUGUCGUAAGCUGUUGAAGGAGCGAUUUGCGCCUUUUUAAGUGUUAAUUUUGGGUAGCCGGCUUGUAUCGGCUUGAAAGCUGAAAAUUAUGCCUCUCAUCAUAAUAGCAUUAAUUUUUGUAAUUGCAAUGUGUAUGUUUAGAUUGUAAGUGAAGCUUUUAAUAAUAAUUUUCUUAAAAAACAUGAUUUUAUAUGCUG